rnacentral:rRNA from 1 species
UACGGGGGGGGCAAGCGUUGUUCGGAAUUACUGGGCGUAAAGGGCUCGUAGGCGGCCAACUAAGUCAGACGUGAAAUCCCUCGGCUUAACCGGGGAACUGCAUCUGAUACUGGAUGGCUUGAGUUCGGGAGAGGGAUGUGGAAUUCCAGGUGUAGCGGUGAAAUGCGUAGAUAUCUGGAGGAACACCGGUGGCGAAGGCGGCAUCCUGGACCGACACUGACGCUGAGGAGCGAAAGCGUGGGGAGCGAACAGG